rnacentral:rRNA from 1 species
AACGAACGCUGGCGGCGUGCUUAACACAUGCAAGUCGAACGGCAAGGCCCUGCUUUUGUGGGGUGCCCGGGUGGCGAACGGGUGCGUAACACGUGAGUAACCUACCCUUGUCUUUCGGAUAACUUCACGAAACUGGAGCUAAUCCCAUAUAGGAGCUCCUCCUGCAUGGUGGGGGUGGGAACGUUGCGGCGGGUGGGGAUGGACGGGCGGCUUAUCGGCUUGUUGGUGGGGUAGUGGCUUACCAAGGCAUUGACGGGUCGCCGGCCUGGGAGGGUGACCGGCGACAUGGGGACUGAGGUACGGCGCAGACGCGUACGGGGGGCAGCAGUGGGGAGUAUUGCACAAUGGGCGGAAGCGGGAUGCAGCAACGCCGCGUGCGGGAUGACGGCCUGCGGGUUGUAAACCGCUUUCGCCUGUGACGAAGCGGGAGUGACGGUAAUGGGUAAAGAAGCACCGGCUAACUACGUG